rnacentral:rRNA from 1 species
GAAUUGCGAUAAGUAAUGUGAAUUGCAGAUUUCCAGUGAAUCAUCGAAUCUUUGAACGCACCUUGCGCUCCUUGGUAUUCCGAGGAGCAUGCCUGUUUGAGUGUCAUUUAAUUCUCAACCAAUCCUGCUUUGAAAGGCAGGGUGUGGCUUGGACUUUGGGGGUUGCUGGCAGAAACCGUCAGCUCCCCUUAAAUGCAUUAGCAAUUCAGUCAUGCCAGUCUUUGACAUGCACGGCCUCGGACGUGAUAAUGAUCGUCCUCGCUGGAGUGUCUUUCCAUGAGACUUGUGCGUGCGGGGGAUCGCUUACAAUCACCAAAAGUGUCUCCAGGCUCUAGCUUAGCCACUAGGCAGUCAAACUUAUCUGGCUGGCGAACGCAAGCAAGAUUACGAGAGACUUUUCUUUCAAAGAGACUUGACCUCAAAUCAGGUAGGACUACCCGCUGAACUUAA